UACGGAAGGUCCGGGCGUUAUCCGGAUUUAUUGGGUUUAAAGGGAGCGUAGGCCGGAGAUUAAGCGUGUUGUGAAAUGUAGACGCUCAACGUCUGCACUGCAGCGCGAACUGGUUUCCUUGAGUACGCACAAAGUGGGCGGAAUUCGUGGUGUAGCGGUGAAAUGCUUAGAUAUCACGAAGAACUCCGAUUGCGAAGGCAGCUCACUGGAGCGCAACUGACGCUGAAGCUCGAAAGUGCGGGUAUCGAACAGGAUUAGAUACCCCGCCGGCUGACUGACU
rnacentral:rRNA from 1 species